GCUUCCGUAGUUCAAUUGGUUAAGAACGGCCGCCCGGUCUGCGGUUGAUCCGGGUUCGAAUCCCGCCGGAAGCG